AAUGAACGCUGGCGGCAGGCCUAACACAUGCAAGUCGAGCGAGCAUUUCGGUGCUAGCGGCGGACGGGUGAGUAACGCGUGGGAACGUGCCCUUUUCUGCGGAAUAGUCCUGGGAAACUGGGGGUAAUACCGCAUACGCCCUUUUGGGGAAAGAUUUAUCGGAGAAGGAACGGCCCGCGUUGGAUUAGGUAGUUGGUGGGGUAAUGGCCCACCAAGCCGACGAUCCAUAGCUGGUUUGAGAGGAUGAUCAGCCACACUGGGACUGAGACACGGCCCAGACUCCUACGGGAGGCAGCAGUGGGGAAUCUUAGACAGUGGGGGCAACCCUGAUCGAGCCAUGCCGCGUGAGUGAUGAAGGCCUUAGGGUUGUAAAGCUCUAUCAGCUGGGAAGAUAAUGACGGUACCAGCAGAAGAAGCCCCGGCUAACUCCGUG
rnacentral:rRNA from 1 species